rnacentral:tRNA from 1 species
GUAUAUAUAUCCAAAAGGUUAAGGAAAAAAAUUGUGAAUUUUUUGUUUAAGAGUUCGAUUCUCUUUAUUUACC